rnacentral:sRNA from 1 species
UCAGUUGUCAACAAAAUCAGUAAGUGUCAUUAAAUACCCCAUGGUGUGUGGUUCUGGCACUGAAAUGGGGCUGUUUCCUAAGGCUCUGUCCAUGGCCACCUCUGUGUGUUUCCGCAUUCUGUCUUCCGUUGCUUCUGUUGCCUAUAUCCUGUGGUCAGCACAGUUUAUGGUGAAUCAUUGCUUAUUGAAAUAGAGAUGGCAAUCAUGAAGCCAGCUAUUAUAAAUUAGAGCAAAUAUACACAUCCAAUAUGUUUUAAACACAUGUGAUCUCUGGAGUAGUAUCACCGGGUAGAUUCUAUUUCAGUUCGCCUUUGGUAUAUUACUGUACUCCAGAGAAUAUCAUUUUUCUCUCUGUAAAAUCUUCCUCAUGAAACUGGUCACCAUAGGUCUGAUUUACUUUUUGGAUCAGUAACAGGUCACAGCAUAAAUCCCAUUCCUACAUCAAGGUGGAACAAGACCCUCACACUUUGGAGGGAGAUUAGUUCCUUUUUAGAAGAACAUGCACAAUUAGAUAAAUCUGUUCAAACGGCUUAGAUGAUCAGAGCCAACAUCUGAUUACUAUGAGCAAGGCACUUUUCUAAACAUUUUUAGUAUUUUGUGAACAGUUUUGUUGAGGUAUACUUUACAGAUAACAUUCACCUCUUGAGCUACAAUUCAAUGAGUUCUCACAAACUGAGUUGUGCAGCCAUCACCACAUUCCAGUUUUAGCGCAUUUCCAUCACCCCAAAAGCUCCUUUCGGCCUGUUUGCAGCCAAUCCCUGCUCCCUGGCAAGCCACAGGCAAGCACUGUCAAUGUUUGGACAGUGUUGGAUUACCUAAUGGACUCUUCAAGACAGUCCUAUGGAGUGUUACUGUCAUUCUCUGUUUUACACGGUGAAGAAGUGAGGCACUGAGGGCACUCAGGGUGGUUUCAAAUGACCGAGGCCAGGUGCUCAGGGCCCAGAACCCUCUUACCCGCUCCAACUUCAGUGAGCUUCAGAAUCACCUGCUGAGGUUGUUUGACCACAGACUUCUGGGCUCCACCCUUGAAUUGCUGACGCCCUAGGUCUGGGAUGGGGCCUGACAAUUUGCAUUUGUAAAAAGUUCCUGAAUGCUGCUGCUGCUGCUGGUCAGGGAACCCUGCUUUAAGACCUCCUGGUCUAUGCAAUUUCAAACAUUGUAAGAAAUAGUCACUCAUGUGAUUGGUUUGGGUGGUUGGUGCAGACCGUACGAGGAUUUUUUAAAAGUAAGUAUUGUUCAUUCUAAAGGAAGGAAAUGUAUGUUAUGAGAUGGAAUUAUAUAAUAAACAGAACUAUUAAAUGCCAUCUGAAAAGUGGUGUUUUCGAUGGCGGGAAGUACCAUUGCUGUGUAUUUUGUGUGUGUGCGCGCCUCAGCUUUGUGUCAUUGUGUAACCUUAAUUUGAAAGAACAUCACGUGACUGCUGUUUUCAUUUCUGCCUUUUAAAAAGCAGACAGCUAUUCAGAACAGCAAGAAGCAGACCCAAACUUUGUUUCUAUGCCCCAGUCACAGGCAAAAAUGGAAAGGGUAAUUUACCAAAAAAGAAAAAAAUAGAUAAAAAGGAAAAGAAUGGAAAGAAAGUACUGACUCACUGCAAACAGCUGCAAAAUGUUGCCCUUGGGAUAGAGGUUAACUCGGUUGUGAAAUAAUAGCCAAAGUGGUGCACUCUUAAUAACUUUUUCGUAGCCCUGGAGAAAGCUUCUGGAUUGACUGUGAGAAGCUUGGCAGAAGGUGCUGCAGCCCGGUGGCUGGCUCAGCAGGAGGCCUGGGAUUUAAAGCUCUCGGUUUGUACAAGCUCUUUUGGAUUUGUAACGCUUAUAUUUUAAAUCUCCAAUAAAUGUAAAUAUUUUGGUC